GACGAACGCUGGCGGCGUGCCUAAUACAUGCAAGUAGAACGCACAGUUUAUACCGUAGCUUGCUACACCAUAAACUGUGAGUUGCGAACGGGUGAGUAACGCGUAGGUAACCUGCCUGGUAGCGGGGGAUAACUAUUGGAAACGAUAGCUAAUACCGCAUAAUAUUAAUUAUUGCAUGAUAAUUGAUUGAAAGAUGCAAUUGCAUCACUACCAGAUGGACCUGCGUUGUAUUAGCUAGUAGGUGAGGUAACGGCUCACCUAGGCGACGAUACAUAGCCGACCGGGGGGGGUGAUCGGCAACACGGGGACUGAGCCACGCCCCAGACUCCGAGGGGGGGAGGCAGUAGGAAUUCUGGGGAAAUGGAGAAAAGUCUGACCGAGCAACGCGGGGUGAGUGAAGAGGGUUUUGGGAUGGAAAAGCUUUGUUGAAAGAGAAGAGGGGGUGGGGGGGGGGAAAUUCCACCCUGGGAGGGUAUUUAACCAGAAGGGGACGGCAAACUAGGUG
rnacentral:rRNA from 1 species